UUUUAGGGAGACCAUCUGAGCAACUACCGAACCUAAACAAUAGGUAGUAAUCAGUAUCCCUGGUCGUUCGAGAAAUAGAUGUCAAAGCUUUCAAACUAUUAACUGGUUCGGGAAAUGGGCUAUUAGCUCAGUUGGUUAGAGCGCACCCCUGAUAAGGGUGAGGUCCCUGGUUCAAAUCCAGGAUGGCCCACCUGGAAAAAAGUAAUGAAUUCAAAGUAAUGAUUCAUGGAUAAUUAAUCCAAGAGUCAGAGCAGGAAAAUCAAAACUAAUUAGUGGGGGUAUAGCUCAGCUGGUAGAGCGCCUGCCUUGCACGCAGGAAGUCAGCGGUUCGAGUCCGCUUACCUCCACUCUCACUAGCUAUCUAUCUAAGUACAACCAUAAUCAAAAAACAGAAGCUCAGAGAAAUCAGCACCUAGACUAUCCCAUGUGAAAGUCAGAAUGCUGGAGUCUAAGACUCUAGUCAGAACCUUGAAAACUGCAUAGAAAUUAAGUCAUCAUCAAGCAGGUAAGUCAUCCGAGCAAUCGGAAAAUCUUACAAAGCAGACGACCAUCAAAAAAU
rnacentral:tRNA from 1 species